UUAAAACUCCGGGAAACUCAUUGGUCGGCCAUUGAAGGGCGGGACCAGAGUCCUUGACGACAGAGGGGUCGAAGGUCAUCUGAACCCGGAACAUCAACAAAGCAAACAAAGGCGGCGGGAGAGAAGUUAAAGUCCGUCAGUUUCUCCUCCGGUUCCCGCCGACAUGUUCUCCGUUUUACUGCCCACUAACAGUUUGCUGGUGGCGGCUCUCAGUCUGCUCCUGACCCGCCUGUCCAGCUCCUCUCUGUGGGUCCCGGACAUCCCGCACAUCGCCACUUAUUUCGGGACCAAGACCCGGUACGAGGAGGUGAACCCGCACCUGCUGCGGGACCUGACCUCCGUCAACACGUCUGUCCUCAAACCUCCGCCCAACGAGCGCUGCUCCUCGGUCCACCUGACCGCCGUCAUCAGGCACGGCAGCCGGUACCCGACCGUCAAGAACAUCCGCAGGAUCCAGAAACUGAGCGAGCUGGUCCGGAGGGAAGCUUCCAGAGGCUCCGGGGGCCCCGAGGACUGGCUGCGGGAGAUCCAGAGCCGCUGGGACAUGUGGUACACCGAGGACAUGGACGGUCAGCUGGUGAUGAAGGGCAGGGAAGACCUGCGUCACCUGGCGAGGCGUCUGGCCGCCGUGUUUCCGGCCCUGCUGUCGGAGGAGAACCUGAGGAGGAGGAGGAUCAGCUUCAUCACCAGCUCCAAGCAUCGCUGUGUGAGCAGCGUGGAGGCGUUUCAGGAGGGACUGCAGCAGCACUGGGGGCUCCAGGAGGUGGCGUACAGCCACCGGGUGGACGACGAGCUGAUGCGUUUCUUCGAGCGUUGCCGUGGUUACGUGGAGGGUGUGGAGAAGAACCGCACGGCACUGAGGGAGGUGGAGAGGUUCAAACACGGCGAGGAGAUGGAGGGAGUGAGGAGGAGGAUGGCCGAGAGACUGGGCCUUCCUCACCACCGCCUCACAGCGGAUCUGGUUGAAGCAGCGUUCUUCUUGUGUUCCUACGAGCUGUCCAUCAAGUCUCUUCACUCUCCGUGGUGUUUCCUGUUCGACGAGAACGACGCCAAGGUGUUGGAAUACAAGUCGGACCUGAAGCAGUACUGGAAGCGUUCCCAUGGUCAUGUGAUCAGCGGUCUGUCUAGCUGUCCUCUGUUCCACCACGUCUUCAGGACGCUGGACAAAGCCGGACGUCCCCGCAGGUCCACCGAGGCAUCCCCUGAGCCCGCCUCCAUCCUGCUGGGUCACGCCGAGACGCUCCUCCCCCUCCUCUCUCUGCUGGGACUCUACAAGGACCAGACUCCGCCCACUGCCGACAACUACCACACGCAGCACGGUAGAAGUUUCCGGAGCGGCCGGAUCGUCCCGUACGCCGCCAACCUGCUCUUCGUCCUGUACGACUGUCAGCGCGGACCCCGCCUGCAGCUGCUCAUCAACGAGUCUCCAGUUCGAUUCCCGGGGCUGGAGGCUGAGGACGCCCCGCUGUACCGGGACGUCCGCGCCACAUACCGCCACCUGCUGGACGGCUGCGACUUCAACAGGGAGUGCGAGGGCCGGACUGGAGGCCGAGGACCCAACACUGAACUCUGAGAGACCUGAUGCAGUAGAACCACAGAGUCCAGUCCAGAACCUGAAUCCUCCUUCUCCACACCUUCAAAUGUUACCUGACAGUGAAUCGACUCAUCGCUAAACCCCGCCCUCAAACACCAAUGGUCCAAUUGCAGCUCAUCAGCAGCAACAGAUAUUUUUCCUCCAUGACAUUAACAUUGAUUUGAAACUUUGUGGCUGAACUGAAGCUGAACUUUAACCUGGAGUCACGUCAGCUGCGAGGAGCGAGGCUGAGGAGGCUGAACCUUCCUCACAUCCUGUUCUCCACCGGGCUUUUCUUCUUCUUCUGUGGUUUAAUGGCAGCAGCUGGAGGACCGGCUCCACCUACUGCUUAUGGAGGGAAAUGGGACUGAAGCUUCUGGAGGUCCUGGUUCUGAUUGGAGUUCUUCUCUGAAAGAAUCAGUUUCUAAGGUUUUAGGUGAACUGGCCCUUUAAUCUUCAGAGGGAAAUCUUUGACUUUUAUUUUGACAGGUUGAUUCAGGAUCGUGGAACUUUAUGUUUAUUUAUUCAGAUUUUUAUGAUCAUGUGGGUUGGCUUGAUUUUCUACUGAUUUUGGUUUGUGGGUUAGACUGAGGGAGGAUUUCACAAUAAAAGCUCUGGUUACUCUGCAGGACAUCUGCAGUGUUUGAAGCUGAGUUUGUGUCUUUAAGGUAAAUUUGUUUGUCUGUUUUCUGUCUUUGUGCCUGAAUAAGUUUAAAAUGACAGUUCAGCUUUUUCUGAGGUUGUUGAUGUUAAAACUUGGUGCUUUUUGUUUUUAUUUCCUGUGGAAUUAUUCCUGAUGAGUGCCAAAUGUUUCAAAUUAAAAGCUUUAAUAAAGGUUUUUCA